CUCUCCUAUGUCACCGCAGGGAGCUAACACCAACUCAACUUUUCUUUCCUCAAGCUAUGAAUCAUCAACAUCUUCCUCUUUAUAGUGUUUCCAUUUCUCCUUCUUAGCUCGCAAAGGUAGUCCUUCACUUCAAAUUUUGCAUUAUCCCUUUCCUUUUUUGAUCCAAAACCUCCUUUCAUUCUUUGUAUGGAUUCACUCCGGUGGAUGAAAUGGGUAUCAAUAAGGUUUCUACAGAGGUACCUCGUCGUAUGUUUGAGGUCAGAGCUCGUUGUGAGCAUUGUCCCUCCCUCAUCUCUCUUUUGAUUUCCCUCUUUUCUUCCUGACUUUUUAUUUUUCCAGUUGAAGCAACAGUGGAAGGACUCUAUUUUUAGACCAAAAGGUGGAGGGGAUAUUUUUGAACCAUUUUCAAUAUGUUAAGGGUAUUCUUGGACCAAAAGGUGUAAGAUAGGCUGAUUUUCAAAAGAUCCUGUCCAACUUAAACAGGGUCGGGCGAUCACAAUGUCAGCUAAUUACAGCAUUAAGCUAGGAUGAUGAGAAUAUAUGAUAUGCAUGAGCUACAAAAAGUUAGCUCGGGAUGUAAAACCACAAAAUGUUACAGAUGGCACAAUCACCUUAUACCGUCAUCUUGUGAAAUUAAGGAGAAUGGUUUGGUAUGAUGCCUCUGUGAGAACGUACCACUGCCGCUCUUGGUGAAAAUGCCUAUCAAAGGGAGUUGAUUGUGGAUCUGCUGACAUUGACAGAUAAAGACACGGAUGGCAGCGAGCUCCAAAUCAUAUUGACAUGAUUGUAUUGUCCUUGCUCAGAUCUUGUUGAGGUCCGGAGGCUUCUAGGUGAGCAUGCUAAAGACAUCCUUCUUGCUUCUAUAGAAUAACUUUGUAGCUUGAUUUGCCUCCAUAAAGUUGCCGUUUCUCUUUAUUGCAUGGUUAUUCUGGUUUCUGUGAUUGAAGAGUGGCUUGUGGUUUUACACAAAUGUAUUUAAUGAGAGAUUACCUCAUGAAUUGAAGAAAUAAUUUAAAUGAGUUGAAUUGAACAAGCAGUAAUGAGUGGCUUGUGAUUUACACAAAUGUAUUUAAAAUGAGAGAUUACCUGAAUUGAAGAAAUAACUUAAAUGAGUCGAACUGAACAAGUAGUAAUCAAUCAUUUUCUUCUGCCUGAUCUGGAUUACAUCACCAGAAUAUAUCAAUUGCUUGCAAUGUUAGUCAUGUGUUACAUCGUUUAAGAAAUUAUUAAAUGAUAUAUAUACUGAACGGUAUGCAUUGAAUGAGGCAGUCUACUUUCAUUUUUUACCCUGGCAUUAUGGAAUUAGACUCACAAACUAAUGGCAAGAGUCAAAGAUACUCUUAGAAGUGUUAUCGUUAUUGUUAGGUUGAAAACCAAGGUAGCAAGUUCUGAUGACAUUCUUGCCAACUCCAAUGCUUUUGUGGUGGCAAGAGGUGGCCUGGGAUUAGAGAGUUCCAAUUGAAAACAUAUUCUUUGCUCAAAAGACAAUGAUUUACAAGUGCAAGUGCGAGUCUACAAAAGGAGCAGUGGAAUUUUCUCUUUGAAUAUGCCGAAACGAAAGGGUUGUGCAAGGGAUGCGAUUCUAUUGAAGCCCUAUACCGUGUUGCAACAUUAGACUUUGAGAGUUUGGAAAUGUCCAACGAUGUUGUUAACCACAUGAAUAUUUAAUUGGUCUUUCAUGCCAACUUGUCAGCUAUUCAAGGGCAAUGGUGGUGAAAAUUGCCAAAUUGCUUUAACAAUGCCCAUAAAUAUGUAGUCCAAAGAAGAAAAAAAAAAUCCCAUUCUUUGAUUCUAAUAGGGAGAUGAAAAAGUGAUUUGAAAUUUCUAUUUCUGUAGGGAAAUGAAAAUGUGAUCUGUGUAUAACAUUUCCAUUUUCCCAAUUUAUUGCCAUUCACUUAUUCCAGAUCUUUUGGAACGAGCUAUACAAAAUAAGCAUGAUCCAUCUCAAGAAGGAAAAACAAAUCAAUUUACCUAAGUGUGUAUAUAGCUUGAGUGUUGUCCCUCAUCCACAGCCAAAGAAUUAGACGAGCAGAAUAUUCUUUGCUCAAAAGACAAUGAUUUACAAGUGCAAGUGCGAGUCUACAAAAGGAGCAGUGGAAUUUUCUCUUUGAAUAUGCCGAAACGAAAGGGUUGUGCAAGGGAUGCGAUUCUAUUGAAGCCCUAUACCGUGUUGCAACAUUAGACUUUGAGAGUUUGGAAAUGUCCAACGAUGUUGUUAACCACAUGAAUAUUUAAUUGGUCUUUCAUGCCAACUUGUCAGCUAUUCAAGGGCAAUGGUGGUGAAAAUUGCCAAAUUGCUUUAACAAUGCCCAUAAAUAUGUAGUCCAAAGAAGAAAAAAAAAAUCCCAUUCUUUGAUUCUAAUAGGGAGAUGAAAAAGUGAUUUGAAAUUUCUAUUUCUGUAGGGAAAUGAAAAUGUGAUCUGUGUAUAACAUUUCCAUUUUCCCAAUUUAUUGCCAUUCACUUA